CUUCCCUUGUAGAAGAAUCACAUGGUCUGAGCUUCUAGGAUAGGAUUGCCUCCAAGAAGUCUAUGAUAUAUUAGGCACUCCAUGUGGUGGGUGUGACAUCCUUUCUGAUCAUGUGGAGAGAUGACAAGAGAAUUGUUAGAAGAAAAGAUCUAUAAUUCCUUCAAAAUUAUCUGGGUCAGGGGAGUCUGCAUAAUCUCUCCUGAUGAAAUCUGCUGUUGCACUGAUUCUUACUCAAACACAUCUGUGUCAAGGCUUGAGGGGGCUGAUAAAUCAAUGUGUUUCUUCACCACCAUGUUUAGAAACCAUGGAGAAAUGGAAAUGGAGCCAGAUAUAUGGAAAAAAUCUUACCUUUAUUGCUCGCUAAUGUUAGGUUGGAGAAUAGCUUGGGUGAAUGGCAAUGAUGUGCUGUCUGAUAGGUAACAUCAUAAUAGGAUAGAUUAUCCUAACUUGUCAGAGGUUGUGCUGCAUGCACCCAAGAUUUUCCUGAGAUGGCAGAUCCCAUGGCUACAAAACUUCAAUCAAGAGAGAGAUAAGAAUCAGGAUCCACUCCCAAAACAGAGUCAAGGGAACAGACUGAAGCACAUAUGCUCCUCUGGACCUUCCUCUAAAUUCACCAAAUGAAUCCCUCUUCCUUCCAUGGAGAGGAGUAAAAGGGGAGAUAUUCAAAUGGACCUUCAUCUACCUUCCAGAGAUGGAUUAAGUUCUUUUAAUAUUAUUGUUUUCUUUGACAUCCUUUGUCUUAUAAAGCAUGAUCAGCUAUGUGCUCUUCUCAUGAGCAGAGGUGGCAGGCAUGUAACUGUAGCCCUAAUCCCACAUUCUUGAGGCUGCUCCUUUCUUCCAUGGUCUUCCUGAUUAAUUGGGUGUGCAGUGUUGAUUUUGUUAAAAGGUCCUGAAGUGUGGUAAAAUGGCUUACAAUGAUCUCAAAGGCCACUCUGUACUUAAGGUUGAAAAUUCAUUGCACGUGUUGUUUCCUACCUAAAUUUUGUCUGGAUACAUAAUCCAAUAUGCUCAUCACUUUUGCAAUGAUAUGCAAUUAUAAGUUCAAGCUUUGCACAUUAAAGUUGAAAGACUAUGGAAAUUAACAUCCAGAAGCAACUUUUGACCUAGAAUAAACUCUCCUUCCAAAUUCCUAUGUCAUGCUCUGCUUAGGCUUACCCUGAAGGUCAUUCCAUGUAUGGCUGGGCUAGCAUCCUCCUGCAGCUGAACCUACACUUGGAAUCUCAGGGGAAUGCAUGUAGUUCUUUAGAAUUCAGAAGCUUAGGUCAAAUAUCAUUUCAUCCUCAAUUUUUAAGGAGGACAAAGAGUUCAUAGAACAUGAAGGGUAAACCUACCAAUUCCUAAUGAUAAAAUUGCCAAAAAAAUGUGUUACCCCUAAUAAAAUGAGGUACCCAAACCCUGUGGCUUGGAAUUAUUGAAGGCCACAGCAUAGA